GACAAGAUAGCGACCUGGGUGACGAUCGCGAUGGCGAUAGCGUCACGAGCUCUCACAACUGUUGCGCCUGGACCUCCCCGACCCCAGUUACUUGGCGCGGUGAAGCCCAUCACGAAGGCGCUGCCGUGGACCACUGGUGGCUGAUGGAAUGUCAACAACGCGGGUGGGACCCUUGUUGCCGAAGGCGAGAUUAGUUUCCUGGUGUUGCGAUCUCGCAGUCUCCAGUUGGCGCACGGCGCUGUCCCGGCCACUCAUGCCUGCCGGGCCUGCAGCACCUGGAGUUCUCUUGGUGGUACCAUCAAUACUGCCUUGCUAGCUUCCUGAUUGCACUUCUUCCUUGCUAGGUCUGCAUGUUGGGUGCCUGCCCCUCACCUUACGGCCUCGUUUGAAGGUAACAAUACUCUGGGUUCAGAUUCGGAUUCGUUAUCUAGCACGAGUAUUUGGUAUUCGGGGGUGGGCACCGUGGACGGUGGAAUUCUUCGUGGGUGGGGGGAGGCGGCGUGAAUUGGCAGGUAGCGGGAAACCUCGGCGGCGCUUGGUUUCCAAAAGUAGCUUUGCACGGGCAGCACGAGAUAAAGUUCUGCUGCUGCUCGAUGUGGGUUCAUGCGCUGUUACAGAACAUUGAAGAACAAGGAAUAAAGGAUGGAAAUGAAGAUGAAAGGUGUUUAAGACAGGAAAUUAAGAAGAAAGGAGGAGAAUAAGAAACAGAGAUGGAGAUGGAUGAAGUCAAUCAUGAAAUGGCAAAGAAGGUAUGGCUUUAAUAAUUUACUAUAUAGUGGCAACUUCUACCUUGUCAUGUAAUUUAGAUUUUAAGUUGGAUUUGCGUAAUAAGGUGUCUCGCAUAAUGUAUUAUUAUCCUUGCUUAUACUCAAGUUGAAUGUCAAAAAGCUGCAACUGCUCUUUCCAACGAUAAUGUUGUGAUUUCAUAUUUUUCAGAUACAAAUCAUAAUUUGUAUCUGUCCAAUGGUCAGUCCAAACAA